rnacentral:rRNA from 1 species
AGAGUUUGAUCCUGGCUCAGGACGAACGCUGGCGGCGUGCUUAACACAUGCAAGUCUAGGGGAAAGUUUUCUUCGGAGARCGAGUACACUGGCGCACGGGUGAGGAAUAUGUAAGUAAUCUACCCAUGGGACGGGGAUAACGUCGAGAAAUCGGCGCUAAUACCCGAUAAUGCAGCGGCAUCGCAUGAUGAUGUUGUUAAAGCCAUUUAUGGCACCUAUGGAUGAGCUUGCAUCUGAUUAGCUAGUUGGUAGAGUAAAAGCCUACCAAGGCAACGAUCAGUAGCUGGUCUGAGAGGAUGAUCAGCCACACUGGAACUGAGAUACGGUCCAGACUCCUACGGGAGGCAGCAGUGAGGAAUAUUGGGCAAUGGGCGCAAGCCUGACCCAGCAACGCCGCGUGGAGGAUGAAUGCCGUAAGGUUGUAAACUCCUUUUUUGAGGGACGAAAAAAUAGGUUUGUAGCCUAUAUUGACUGUACCUUUAGAAUAAGCCCCGGCUAACUACGUGCCAGCAGCCGCGGUAAUACGUAGGGGGCAAGCGUUGUCCGGAUUCACUGGGUGUAAAGGGCGCGUAGGCGGGCUUGCAAGUCAGAGGUGAAAUCUCCCGGCUUAACCGGGAAACUGCCUUUGAUACUGCAAGUCUUGAGUGCGGAAGAGAGAGACGGAAUUCCAGGUGUAGUGGUGAAAUACGUAGAUAUCUGGAAGAACACCAGUGGCGAAGGCGGUCUCUUGGUCCGUUACUGACGCUGAGGCGCGAAAGCGUGGGGAGCAAACAGGAUUAGAUACCCUGGUAGUCC